rnacentral:rRNA from 1 species
UACGUAGGGUGCAAGCGUUAAUCGGAAUUACUGGGCGUAAAGCGUGCGCAGGCGGUUAUGUAAGACAGUUGUGAAAUCCCCGGGCUCAACCUGGGAACUGCAUCUGUGACUGCAUAGCUAGAGUACGGUAGAGGGGGAUGGAAUUCCGCGUGUAGCAGUGAAAUGCGUAGAUAUGCGGAGGAACACCGAUGGCGAAGGCAAUCCCCCUGGACCUGUACUGACGCUGAGGAGCGAAAAGCGUGGGGGAGCGAACAGG